UACGUAGGGUGCGAGCGUUGUCCGGAUUUAUUGGGCGUAAAGAGCGCGCAGGCGGCUGGUCAAGUCCGAUGUGAAAUCUCCCGGCUCAACUGGGAAACUGCAUCGGAAACUGAUCGGCUUGAAGGUGGGGAGAGGGUAGUGGAAUUCCCGGUGUAGUGGUGAAAUGCGCAGAUAUCAGGAGGAACACCAAUGGCGAAGGCAGCUCGCUGGGACGGUACUGACGCUGAGGCGCGAAAGCGUGGGGGAGCAAACAGG
rnacentral:rRNA from 1 species